rnacentral:rRNA from 1 species
UUAAAUUGAAGAGUUUGAUCAUGGCUCAGAUUGAACGCUGGCGGCAGGCCUAACACAUGCAAGUCGAACGGUAACAGGAAUCAGCUUGCUGAUUCGCUGACGAGUGGCGGACGGGUGAGUAAUGUCUGGGAAACUGCCUGAUGGAGGGGGAUAACUACUGGAAACGGUAGCUAAUACCGCAUAACGUCGCAAGACCAAAGAGGGGGACCUUCGGGCCUCUUGCCAUCGGAUGUGCCCAGAUGGGAUUAGCUAGUAGGUGGGGUAACGGCUCACCUAGGCGACGAUCCCUAGCUGGUCUGAGAGGAUGACCAGCCACACUGGAACUGAGACACGGUCCAGACUCCUACGGGAGGCAGCAGUG